rnacentral:rRNA from 1 species
CCUACGGGAGGCAGCAGUGGGGAAUAUUGGACAAUGGGGGCAACCCUGAUCCAGCCAUGCCGCGUGUGUGAAGAAGGCUUUCGGGUUGUAAAGCACUUUCAGUGAGGAGGAAAACCUUGCGAUUAAUACUCGUAGGGCUUGACGUUACUCACAGAAGAAGCACCGGCUAACUCCGUGCCAGCAGCCGCGGUAAU